AGAGUUUGAUCCUGGCUCAGGACGAACGCUGGCGGCGUGCUUAACACAUGCAAGUCGAACGAGACGAUUGAAAGCUUGCUUUUGAAAGUCGAGUGGCAAACGGGUGAGUAACGCGUAGACAACCUGCCGUAAAGAUGGGGACAACAGUCCGAAAGGACUGCUAAUACCGAAUGUUGUGGAACUUCCGCAUGGGAACUCCACUAAAGAUGGCCUCUACUUGUAAGCUAUCGCUUUACGAUGGGUCUGCGUCUGAUUAGCUAGUUGGUGGGGUAAUGGCUUACCAAGGCGACGAUCAGUAGCCGGUCUGAGAGGAUGAACGGCCACAUUGGAACUGAGACACGGUCCAGACUCCUACGGGAGGCAGCAGUGGGGAAUCUUCCGCAAUGGGCGCAAGCCUGACGGAGCAACGCCGCGUGAGUGAAGAAGGGUUUCGACUCG
rnacentral:rRNA from 1 species